CCCUGAUCAAAUAUUUUACAGAUAUAUCGAAUGAUUUAAACCAGAAUCCAAGCCUUGAUAACAUUAAGCAGAACUGUACCAGUUCAGUGCAGGAAGAGCUGGAACCGCCCGGAACCGUUCAAAUACCCCGUGUACGGAAAUAUCUUAAAUUGAGGAAAAGACGGCGACUCUGUGCUCUGUAUACCAGGGCGAGGCUUGUUAGAGGUUUAUUGAAUGAGGCAACGUUGUUGGUGGAGCAGAUUUCAUCGAGACUUGGACAGCAACAGCGAAGACAGAGAGUUCCCCUAUCCUUACGUGACCGUUGUAAUAAAGCAUCAUGUUUAACGCUUUUGGCUGCAUGUCAGACAUUGUUACUGAAACAUUGUGCUGAUAUCAAGGUAAU